rnacentral:rRNA from 1 species
UCAUACGUAGGACCCAAGCGUUAUCCGGAUUGACUGGGCGUAAAGAGUUGCGUAGGUGGUUUGUUAAGCGAAUAGUGAAAUCUUGUGGCUCAACCAUGAGGCUAUUAUUCGAACUAAUAAACUCGAGAAGAGGAGAGGUAUCUGGAAUUCCCAGUGUAGGAGUGAAAUCCGUAGAUAUUGGGAGGAACACCAAUGGCGUAGGCAGGAUACUGGACUCUUUCUGACACUAAGGCACGAAAGCGUGGGGAGCGAACCGGAUUAGAUACCCGGGUAGUCCACGCCGUAAACUAUGGAUGCUAGCUGUAUGCCGUAUCGACCCGGUAUGUAGCGAAGCUAACGCGUUAAGCAUCCCGCCUGGGGAGUACGGUCGCAAGACUA